rnacentral:rRNA from 1 species
UACGGAGGGUGCAAGCGUUAUCCGGAUUCACUGGGCUUAAAGGGUGCGUAGGCGGGUUGGUAAGUCCGUGGUGAAAUCUUCGAGCUUAACUCGGAAACUGCCGUGGAUACUAUCAAUCUUGAAUAUCGUGGAGGUAAGCGGAAUAUGUCAUGUAGCGGUGAAAUGCUUAGAUAUGACAUAGAACACCAAUUGCGUAGGCAGCUUACUGCACGAUCAUUGACGCUGAGGCACGAAAGCGUGGGGAGCAAACAGG